rnacentral:rRNA from 1 species
UAAGGAAUAUUGGUCAAUGGACGCAAGUCUGAACCAGCCAUGCCGCGUGAAGGAUGAAGGUCCUCUGGAUUGUAAACUUCUUUUAUCUGGGACGAAAACGGGAUUUUUAUCUCAAUUGACGGUACCAGAGGAAUAAGCACCGGCUAACUCCGUGCCAGCAGCCGCGGUAAUACGGAGGGUGCGAGCGUUAUCCGGAUUUACUGGGUUUAAAGGGUGCGUAGGUGGGCUUAUAAGUCAGUGGUGAAAUCUCCGAGCUUAACUUGGAAACUGCCGUUGAUACUAUAGGUCUUGAAUUAUCUGGAGGUAAGCGGAAUAUGUCACGUAGCGGUGAAAUGCUUAGAUAUGACAUAGAACACCAAUUGCGAAGGCAGCUUACUACAUAUAAAUUGACGCUGAGGCACGAAAGCGUGGGGAUCAAAC